UGGGGAAUAUUGCACAAUGGGCGCAAGCCUGAUGCAGCCAUGCCGCGUGUAUGAAGAAGGCCUUCGGGUUGUAAAGUACUUUCAGCGGGGAGGAAGGGAGUAAAGUUAAUACUUUUGCUCACUGACGUUACCCGCAGAAGAAGCACCGGCUAACUCCGUGCCAGCAGCCGAGGUAAUACGGAGGGUGCAAGCGUUAAUCGGAAUUACUGGGCGUAAAGCGUACGCAGGCGGUCUGUCAAGUCGGAUGUGAAAUCCCCGGGCUCAACCUGGGGACUGCAUUCGAAACUAGCAGGCUAGAGGAAUGUAGAGGAGGGUAGAAUUCCAGGUGUAGCGGUGAAAGGCGUAGAGAUCUGGAGGAAUACAGGUGGCGAAGGCGGCCCCCGGGACAAAGACUGACGCUCAGGUGCGAAAGCGUGGGGAGCAAACAGG
rnacentral:rRNA from 1 species